AUACUUACCUGGCAGGGGAGAUACCAUGAUCACCAAAGGUGGUUUUCCCAGAGUGAGGCCUAUCCAUUGCACUCUGGGUAUGUUGACCCCUGUGAUUGCUCAAAAUUUGGGAAACUUGACUGCAUAUUUUGUGGUAGUAGGGGAUUGUGUUCACACUCGUUCCUG
ensembl:snRNA U1 U1 spliceosomal RNA